rnacentral:tRNA from 1 species
GCUUUUGGUUCAGUGGUAGAAUGCACGCCUGCCACACGGGCGCCCCGGGUUCGAUUCCCGGCCGAUGCA